rnacentral:rRNA from 1 species
AGCAGCCGCGGUAAUUCCAGCUCCAAUAGCGUAUAUUAAAGUUGUUGCAGUUAAAAAGCUCGUAGUUGAAUUUCGAGACCGGUCUACUGGUCGUGCUUUUGUACGUACUGGUAUAAUCGGUUUCUCUCUUCUGACGAACUAUAAUGCCAUUAAUUUGGUGUUUUAGGGAAUCAGGACUGUUACUUUGAAAAAAUUAGAGUGUUUAAAGCAGGCUCACGCUUGAAUACAUUAGCAUGGAAUAACGAAAUAGGACGUUUGAUUCUAUUUUGUUGGUUUCUAGGAUCGACGUAAUGAUUAAUAGGGAUAGUUGGGGGCAUUAGUAUUCAAUUGUCAGAGGUGAAAUUCUUGGAUUUAUUGAAGACUAACUACUGCGAAAGCAUUUGCCAAGGAUGUUUCAUUAAUCAAGAACGAAAGUUAGGGGAUCGAAGACGAUCAGAUACCGUCGUAGUCUUAACCAUAAACUAUGCCGACUAGGGAUCAGAUGAUGUUAAAUUAAUGAACUCAUUCGGCACCUUACGGG